GACGAACGCUGGCGGCGUGCUUAACACAUGCAAGUCGAACGGAAAGGCCCUGCUCUUGUGGGGUGCUCGAGUGGCGAACGGGUGAGUAACACGUGAGUAACCUGCCCUUGACUUUGGGAUAACUUCAGGAAACUGGGGCUAAUACCGGAUAGGAGCUCCUGCUGCAUGGUGGGGGUUGGAAAGUUUCGGCGGUUGGGGAUGGACUCGCGGCUUAUCAGCUUGUUGGUGGGGUAGUGGCUUACCAAGGCUUUGACGGGUAGCCGGCCUGAGAGGGUGACCGGCCACAUUGGGCCUGAGAUGCGGCCCAGACUCCUACGGGAGGCAGCAGUGGGGAAUAUUGCACAAUGGGCGGAGGCCUGAUGCAGCAACGCCGCGUGCGGGAUGACGGCCUUCGGGUUGUAAACCGCUUUCGCCUGUGACGAAGCGUGAGUGACGGUAAUGGGUAAAGAAGCACCGGCUAACUACGUG
rnacentral:rRNA from 1 species